UGAUGCUCUAAAAUCCUAACUUGGGACUGCAUAUGUGAGCCCAUAAACUUUUGUAAUUUGUAAUAUGUCAUUACAAACUACUAAGCUCGGCCGAUAUUUGGCUCGGCCCAAGACCACCUAUAGGCCAGAAGAAAUUGUUCAAUGUGAAUAUGUAUGCAUCCUAAGGUUUUUUGUAAGAAAGUCAGUAUCCUUGAUCAUUAAACUAUAUAAAAAAUGGCUUAAGUUCUAAUAUUUUGAUAAAUAUUUUUAGGUUAUCCUUUUAAAAGGUCUAAAAUAUACUAGACUUCUAUAGAAAAGGGACUCUUGAACUUCCAAAAAAAGAUAGGUUUUUUGUAAGGCAGAUUAGUAUCCUUAAUCCUUAAACUAUAUAAAAGUGGCUCAAGUUUUUGAUAAUAUUUUGU
rnacentral:lncRNA from 1 species